rnacentral:rRNA from 1 species
UGGAGGAAAGCCUGAUGGAGCAACACCGCGUGAUCGAUGAAGGCCUUAGGAGUGUAAAGCUCUUUUCUGAGGGAAGAAUUCUGACGGUACCUUAGGAAUAAGCACCGGCUAACUCCGUGCCAGCAGCCGCGGUAAUACGGAGGGUGCAAGCGUUAUCCGGAAUUAUUGGGCGUAAAGCGUCCGCAGGCGGUUUGUCAAGUGUGAUGUUAAAGCCUGCAGCUCAACUGCUGUGUUGUGUCUCAAACUGAUAAACUAGAGGCUUACAGAGGUACAUGGAAUUCUGCGU